rnacentral:rRNA from 1 species
ACACGUAAGGGGCGAGCGUUGUUCGGAAUUAUUGGGCGUAAAGGGCGCGUAGGCGGUACUGCAAGUCAGGUGUGAAAGACCUCAGCUUAACUGAGGGAACGCGCUUGAAACUGUAGUACUAGAGUCUAAGAGGGGAAGCUGGAAUUCCUAGUGUAGGGGUGAAAUCUGUAGAUAUUAGGAAGAACACCGGUGGCGAAGGCGAGCUUCUGGCUAUAGACUGACGCUGAGGCGCGAAAGCGUGGGGAGCGAACAGGAUUAGAUACCCUGGUAGUCCACGCCGUAAACGAUGUACACUGGGUGUUGGCCCGUUGGGGUCAGUGCCGAAGCUAACGCGAUAAGUGUACCGCCUGGGGAGUAUGCUCGCAAGGGUGAA